rnacentral:misc_RNA from 1 species
CAAGAAGCCGAAAGGCUACUUAAAAAACCAUCGCGAACUUAUCCAAGUUGCUUUCGGCGGCGCGGCUCCCCUCACGGGGGACCGCAGCCCCCGCCUCUCAGGAGGUAAGGGGGCAGCCGCCGGAGGUACGAAACUCUGUAUUAUAGUGGUAUCUCUGAGUAUAAAACAAAUAAGUUAA